UGAGCAACGUACCGAUGUGUGGGGGAUAGCUGGCCUAACGGCCAGGUAAUACCGCAUAUGAUGAUCGGCCCGCAUGGGCCGCUCAUCAAACUCCUUAGACGAGGCAUAUCGAGGGGCUCGCGGCCUAUCAGCUAGUUGGCGAGGUCACGGCUCACCAAGGCGACGACGGGUAGCUGGUCUGAGAGGAUGGCCAGCCACAGUUGGGACUGAGAAACCGGCA
rnacentral:rRNA from 1 species